rnacentral:rRNA from 1 species
AAGACUAAUCGAACCAUCUAGUAGCUGGUUCCCUCCGAAGUUUCCCUCAGGAUAGCUGGAGCUUGUAGUACAGUUUUAUCAGGUAAAGCUAAUGAUUAGAGGAUGUUGAGUUGAAACAACUUGCACCUAUUCUCAAACUUUAAAUAGGUAAGAAGCCGUUUGAUAUAAUCUUGAUUGAUCAUCGGCCUCGAAUGGAAGCUCUUUGUGGGCCAUUUUUGGUAAGCAGAACUGGCGAUGCGGGAUGAACCGAACGCGGGGUUAAGGUGCCAGAAUGCACGCUCAUCAGACACCACAAAAGGUGUUAGUUCAUCUAGACAGCAGGACGGUGGCCAUGGAAGUCGGAACCCGC